rnacentral:rRNA from 1 species
AAUAUUGCACAAUGGGCGCAAGCCUGAUGCAGCGACGCCGCGUGGGGGAUGACGGCCUUCGGGUUGUAAACCUCUUUCAGCAGGGACGAAGCGUAAGUGACGGUACCUGCAGAAGAAGCACCGGCCAACUACGUGCCAGCAGCCGCGGUAAUACGUAGGGUGCGAGCGUUGUCCGGAAUUACUGGGCGUAAAGAGCUCGUAGGUGGUUUGUCGCGUUGUUCGUGAAAUUCGGGGGCUUAACCCUCGGCGUGCGGGCGAUACGGGCAGACUGGAGUACUGCAGGGGAGACUGGAAUUCCUGGUGUAGCGGUGGAAUGCGCAGAUAUCAGGAGGAACACCGGUGGCGAAGGCGGGUCUCUGGGCAGUAACUGACGCUGAGGAGCGAAAGCGUGGGGAGCGA